rnacentral:rRNA from 1 species
UUGGAGGGCAAGUCUGGUGCCAGCAGCCGCGGUAAUUCCAGCUCCAAUAGCGUAUAUUAAAGUUGUUGCAGUUAAAAAGCUCGUAGUUGAAUUUCGAGAUCAGUACGCUGGUCGUGCCUUCGGUAUGCACUGGUGUCACUGGUUUCUCCCUUCUGAAGAACCGUCAUGUCAUUAAGUUGGUGUGGCGGGGAAUCAGGACUGUUACUUUGAAAAAAUUAGAGUGUUUAAAGCAGGCUCGCGCUUGAAUACAUUAGCAUGGAAUAAUGAAAUAAAACGUUUGACCCUAUUUUGUUGGUUUCUAGGAUCGACGUAAUGAUUAAUAGGGAUAGUUGGGGGCAUUAGUAUUCAAUUGUCAGAGGUGAAAUUCUUGGAUUUAUUGAAGACUAACUACUGCGAAAGCAUUUGCCAAGGAUGUUUUCAUUAAUCAAGAACGAAAGUUAGGGGAUCGAAGACGAUCAGAUACCGUCGUAGUCUUAACCAUAAACUAUGCCGACUAGGGGUCGGAUGAUGUUAAUUUUUUAAUGACUCAUUCGGCGCCUUACGGGAAAC